CCACUGAGGGAGGGUUUCUUUCUGGAGAUCCCUCUUUGAUGAAGCUUUUCCCUGUAAACCUCAACUUUUCUGAUACAGAGCCUGUGCUGACAUGUGGAACUACGGAGGUUAAUGCUAGAAUGGAGAUCCCAAUACUACUGAAAAGUGAUGAGAGGAGGUGGGGGGAUCUGUGCCUACUGGAGGCCUUCCAAAGUUACAGGAAACUAAGACUGGAGUAUGAUAACAGCAUAACUGGUGCAUGUGGUCCUGGGCUGUAUGCCAAAACAAAGAGGAGACUGCGGGCAGGGGAAAGUAGGAAUAGCUGGAACGAAAAAGGUCAUGUUCUCAGAACUGUAAAGGGCUGGAUCUCUGGUGUCAAUCAUCUCAGUACCUGGGUCAAAAGAGCUGCCACAGUUACCAGCUUAUGGCCUGACACAGCUCAGCUGUAUUGGAUAUAAACAUGUGCAUGGCAGAAAUAAGAAUGUGCCUCUAUUUCUUUUCUGCAAGAAUAAAGGAUGGCACAAAAAAACUCAAGGCAACCUGCAAAGCAAACAAAAUCCUUGAAUUUUACUUGCUAUUUGUUAGUAUUUAACCAUGCAAUCUUCUACUUACAAGAAUAUUUCUGGGAAGAGAAGACUGAAAUCUGUACACUGUGUUUGCAUGACUACUUGCACAUUACUUUGUGUACUCAGUGUGGUUCAAGUCAUGCAGUGAGCCACAAGUGGAUACUGUAUAGGUUGGGAGAAUGGACAUGAAGUGGUUGGUGACUGAAUUGGCUGCCUUAAAAUUGUCAGUUAACUCAUGCUACCAGAAGUUCAAGUAGUGGAAAAGAAGUUCACUUCUAAACUCAGU
ensembl:lncRNA